CUGGAGGUGGCCAGGGUGGGUGGGGGCCCUCGUCUUACCCAGCAGUGUUUGGGUGCUGGUUGGGAGUCUCUAAUACUGCCGGGUAAUGAUGGAGGCCCCUGUCCCCAUGUCAGCGGCAUCCAA
rnacentral:pre_miRNA from 14 species